UACGUAGGGUGCGAGCGUUAAUCGGAAUUACUGGGCGUAAAGCGUGCGCAGGCGGUUGUGCAAGUCAGAUGUGAAAUCCCCGGGCUUAACCUGGGAACUGCAUUUGUGACUGCACGGCUGGAGUGCGGCAGAGGGGGAUGGAAUUCCGCGUGUAGCAGUGAAAUGCGUAGAUAUGCGGAGGAACACCGAUGGCGAAGGCAAUCCCCUGGGCCUGCACUGACGCUCAUGCACGAAAGCGUGGGGAGCAAACAGG
rnacentral:rRNA from 1 species